AUGCUUCUCCUAAAGACUAAGCCAUGCAUGCUUUCGAAUAAGAGGAAGCAAUUCUCUCUGAAUCUGCGAACGGCUCCGCAAACCAGUUGUAAACUAUAGCAAGCACGCUCAGGCUUGGCCGCAAGGCUGGGUCGGGGCAACAUGGAUAACCCUGGUAAUUCUGAGGCUAAUACAAGAACGUAACUCUCGGCUGACCUUCACGGGAAGGCCGGGGGAUGUGUGUACGAUACGCGAAGACUAACCGAGAAAGGGCACACGUCAGGACCGCGCUACAAAGGACAUGGUGGACACCAGCCUCACGGCUGGCCGAAGCCUUGCCCCAGCGGCUCUUGCUGUGUGCUUCUGACCUAUCAACAAGUCGGCAGCGUAACGGACAUGCCAUGGUGACAACGGGUACAGAGGAUUAGGGUUCGAUCCUGGAGAGUGGGCCUGAGAGAUUGCUCAUACUUCUAAGGAAGGCAGCAGGCGCGCAACGUUCCCCUUGGGCAAUGCUUGAGGGCGUUAGGGGACAUAUGAAUGCCUGCCAAUACGGUGGGCAAUUCAAAUGGGUCUGUUCUAAACAGCCUCU
rnacentral:rRNA from 1 species